GUGCCAGCCGCCGCGGUAAUACCGGCAGCCCAAGUGAUGGCCGCUGUUAUUGGGCCUAAAGCGUCCGUAGCUGGCCGCACAAGUCCGUCGGGAAAUCCGCCCGCUCAACGGGCGGCCGUCCGGCGGAACCUGUGUGGCUUGGGACCGGAAGGCUCGAAGGGUACGUUCGGGGUAGGAGUGAAAUCCCAUAAUCCCGCACGGACCACCGAUGGCGAGAGCACUUCGAGAAAACGGAUCCGACAGUGAGGGACGAAAGCUGGGAUCUCGAACCGGAUUAGAAACCCUUGUAGUCC
rnacentral:rRNA from 1 species